rnacentral:rRNA from 1 species
CCUACGGGAGGCAGCAGUAAGGGAUAUUGGUCAAUGGGGGAAACCCUGAACCCGCACCGCCGCGUGAGGGAAGACGGUUUUCGGAUUGUAAACCUCUGUCCUCUGUGAAGAUGAUGACGGUAGCAGAGGAGGAAGCUCCGGCUAACUACGUGCCAGCAGCCGCGUUAAUACGUAGGGAGCGAGCGUUGUCCGGAUUUACGGGGGUAAAGGGGUGCGUAGGCGGCUUGGCAAGUAAGUAGGUAAAUCAAUGGGCUUAACCCAUGAACUGCUAGUGAAACUGUCGAGCUUGAGUGAAGUAGAGGUAGGCGGAAUUCCCGGUGUAGCGGUGAAAUGCGGAGAGAUCGGGAGGAAAACCAGUGGCGAAGGCGGCCUACUGGGCUUUAACUGACGCUGAGGCACGAAAGCGUGGGUAGCAAACAGGAUUAGAUACCCGAGUAGUC